rnacentral:rRNA from 1 species
CCCAGUAGAUAUACCACACUGAACGCACCCUAUCUCUUCUGACCUCAGAAGCUAAGCAGGGUUGGGCCUGGUUAGUUCUUGAAUAGGAGACAAAUUACCCAGUAGAUAAUAGAU